GCCAGACUUAAAACUUAAUCCCACUCAAUUGAACAAUGGUACACCAUCAUCCUGCAGAAUAUCCGCGUGAACUCCAAUCACUAGGUGUCCCGGGUAGUAAAUAACACUGGGGCCUGACGGUACCCUCAAAGGAAGCACCGGCUAACUCCGUGCCAGCAGCCGCGGUAAUACGGAGGGUGCAAGCGUUGUUCGGAAUUAUUGGGCGUAAAGCGCGUGUAGGCGGUUGUUUAAGUCUGAUGUGAAAGCCCUGGGCUCAACCCGGGAAGUGCAUUGGAAACUGGGCAACUUGAGUACGGGAGAGGGUAGUGGAAUUCCGAGUGUAGGGGUGAAAUCCGUAGAUAUUCGGAGGAACACCGGUGGCGAAGGCGGCUACCUGGACCGAUACUGACGCUGAGACGCGAAAGCGUGGGGAGCAAACAGGAUUAGAUACCCUGGUAGUCCACGCCGUAAACGAU
rnacentral:rRNA from 1 species